CGUCUGCCGCAGCCGCAACUACC
rnacentral:siRNA from 1 species